rnacentral:lncRNA from 1 species
CCCUCACUCAUGCACUGUGACAGAAAACAGUAAGAGAGGCACCAGGAAGAGAAAAUGUGUCAAAUUCCCCCAGCCUCCUAGAGAAGGAAGACUGUCACUAUUGAUAAUAGCAUGUUUUACAAUGUGAUUCAUUUGGGAAAAGUUUAAAAUGAAAAAACUCUGUGUCAGGACUAGAAAUACGAUGAUGCACACACUCCCAGCCUUCGUGGAGCUCACAGUUGGCUGAUGGAGAACAACAUUAAACAAGCAAUAACAGUAAAGUAAGGUCAGGAAAGAGCAGGAAAACACCCCCGAUGGUCCUGGCUCUCCUGCGGCAGUGAAGCGGAGAAAAGAGAAGAUACUGCAUCCAAGAAAAAAGAACAGACUCAAACAGAAAAGGAAUAUUCAAAAGCCAAAAUGGAAUUCUUAGAAAUUAAAAACAACAGAAAUGAGAAACUCAACAGUAAAUCUCUCAGAAAGUCAAGCAAAAAGACAAAGAGAUAGAAAAAUUGGAGGGAAAAUAGCAAGCCAAAUUAGAAGACUAGUCCAAGAAUUCGAAUAUCUAAGUAAUAGGAGUUCCAGAGAGAGGGAGAGAAAAAAACAAAAACAAAAACAGAAAACGGAAAACAGAAAAGAGGUAAUCACAAAUGAAAUUACCGUACUCGCUCCUAAUCCGUGAAGGUACGUUCCAAGACCCCAGUGGAUGUCUGAAACCACAGAUCAUGGUCCUCCGAGAAGCAGACACCAAAACAGAAUUUGAUGUGCAAGAAAUUUACUGGGGAAAAUGCCUAUGAAAGAUAAAGGAGGAAGAAGCAGGAGUGGAUGGGGAGAGCCUUCACACAAACGAGGUGAGGCAGGUCUGACUCAUGUGAAAGGAGAGCAGGAAGGAAGAAUAUCAGCCUGCAGGGCAGUUUGGAGAAAGUCUCCUCCAGGUCCAGAAAGAACCUCCGAAGCCUGCAUGGCCUGUCGGAGGAGUCCCACGUAAGUCAGGGACUGGCCGACUCCAGCGCCCCCCUGGGAUGCUUGCUGGCUGAGAGUAGGCUGGGAGAAAUGUGAAUGUCAUGGUGGAUCCAAAAGGCAGCAGCUGGAGGCUGUCGGUCAAUUGCAUUUCCCACAGCAGGUUCUUUUGAAGGAGAUCUGAGUGGAGCACUUCCAUGGCCAGCACAGCUUUCCAGGAGCUCUCAAUUUAGGCAGGUAAACAUAUACAUCACAGCUGUAUUCCAAGGCUGUGGACUAGCCCUUUGGGGUUCUGUGUCCGUUCUGUGUUCACUCAGCCAUAGCCUGGGUUGUGGACAGGGACCAUGGUAUGGAACAUGGCUGCUCAGAUAAGGAGGGCUGUGAUGUGUGUGUAGAUACACCUCACAGGCCCAGGAAAGCAGGGAAAUGGUUGAUAUAAUACAAUUAUGUACAAGACACAGUGGCAGGAAGGAGGGAAUUAACUAACUGCUUAUGAAGGAGAGGUCAGGGAAGGGUCCAGGAUAAAGGGACGUGGAAUUGGGUUUACCACUGGAAUUUAUCACAUACACAGGAGGUGAUGCAGUCAAAUCUGUCUCAUUGGAAACCUGGAUUCACAUCCUGGCUCUGUCACUUAUUAGCUUUUGACCUUGGGUGAGUCUCUUAACCUUUUUCAAGCCACAGUUUUUUCAUCUGUAAAACAGAGAUGAUGAUCGUAGCUAUUUUACAGAGUUAGGAUGAUGCACGUAAAUUCAUUAGCAGAAUGCCUGACCUAUGGGAAGUGACCAGUAAAUGGUAACAGUUAGUAUUCUUGUUGUUAAUAAUUCUGACAUAUCAGACAGUGGAAACAGCCUGUCCAAAGACAUGAGAGGAUGAAGGGCAGCCAGUCCGGGUUGCUGCCGGCAGUUUUCUGUGGCUGGAUCAUAUGGUGCAAGGGAAAAUGUGGGAGAAAACAGGUCGGGAAAACAGGCCCCAUGAGACGAAAAGCCUUAUGUGCUGUGUAAGAUAUUUCGGACUUCACACUAGGUUAUGAGAAGCUAUUAGAGGAUAUUGGGGGCGGG